UAGGGAAUCUUCGGCAAUGGACGAAAGUCUGACCGAGCAACGCCGCGUGAGUGAAGAAGGUUUUCGGAUCGUAAAACUCUGUUGUUAGAGAAGAACAAGGACGUUAGUAACUGAACGUCCCCUGACGGUAUCUAACCAGAAAGCCACGGCUAACUACGUGCCAGCAGCCGCGGUAAUACGUAGGUGGCAAGCGUUGUCCGGAUUUAUUGGGCGUAAAGCGAGCGCAGGCGGUUUCUUAAGUCUGAUGUGAAAGCCCCCGGCUCAACCGGGGAGGGUCAUUGGAAACUGGGAGACUUGAGUGCAGAAGAGGAGAGUGGAAUUCCAUGUGUAGCGGUGAAAUGCGUAGAUAUAUGGCGGAACACCAGUGGCGAAGGCGGCUCUCUGGUCUGUAUCUGACGCUGAGGCUCGAAAGCGUGGGGAGCAAACAGG
rnacentral:rRNA from 1 species